GCCAGGUGUGGUGGUGGGCCCCUGUAAUCCCAGCUACUCUGGAGGCUGAGGCAGGAGAAUUGCUUGAGCCCAGGAGGCGGAGAUUGCAGUGAGCCGAGAUCGUGCCACUGCACUCCAGCCUGGGCAACAGAGUGAGACUCUGUCUCAA
rfam:Homo sapiens chromosome 5, GRCh38 reference primary assembly.